CUGGGUUGUGGCUCAGUGGUAGAGUGUUUGCCUACCACAUGUGAGUUCCUGGGUUCGAUCUUCAGCACCAGA
rnacentral:tRNA from 1 species